rnacentral:lncRNA from 1 species
GUGGAUCCACGGGAUCCUCAUAGACUUCCAAGAGUAGGUCUGCUUGCGGUUCCUCAUUUUCUUCCUCAUCUGGAGGGGAUAAAAAGAGUGAGUUCCAUAUGCUCUGUAAGGAAAACAAUAUUAAAUUAACAUCAUACGAUUUCAAAAGUUUAUUAUUUUAUCUUACCGCUUAGCUUCAUUGUUUACCUAACUUAUCAUUAUAAAAACCA